GAUGAACGCUAGCUACAGGCUUAACACAUGCAAGUCGAGGGGUAACGAGAGGAAAGCUUGCUUUCCUUGUCGACGACCGGCGCACGGGUGAGUAACGCGUAUCCAACCUGCCCCCAACUAAGGAAUAACCUUGCGAAAGUAAGACUAAUACCUUAUAAUUUCCUCAGAUGUCAUCUGACGAGGAAUAAGGAUUUAUCGGUUGUGGAUGGGGAUGCGUCUGAUUAGCUUGUUGGCGGGGUAACGGCCCACCAAGGCAACGAUCAGUAGGGGUUCCGAGAGGAAGGGCCCCCACAUUGGAACUGGGACGCGGUCCAAACUCCUACGGGAGGCAGCAGGGAGGAAUAUUGGUCAAUGGGCGAAAGCCUGAACCAGCCAAGUAGCGUGCAGGAUGACGGCCCUAUGGGUUGUAAACUGCUUUUAUACAGGAAUAAAGUUAGCCACGUGUGGUUAUUUGUAGGUACUGUAUGAAUAAGGACCGGCUAAUUCCGUGCCAGCCGCCGCAGUAA
rnacentral:rRNA from 1 species